UACGGGGGGAGCAAGCGUUGUUCGGAUUUACUGGGCGUAAAGGGCGCGUAGGCGGUCCGCAAAAGUCAUUUGUGAAAUCUCCGGGCUUAACUCGGAAAGGUCAACUGAUACUGUGCGACUAGAGUGCAGAAGGGGCAACUGGAAUUCUCGGUGUAGCGGUGAAAUGCGUAGAUAUCGAGAGGAACACCUGCGGCGAAGGCGGGUUGCUGGGCUGACACUGACGCUGAGGCGCGAAAGCCAGGGGAGCGAACGGG
rnacentral:rRNA from 1 species